UGCAAGUCGAGCGAGAAGUCUUAGUUUGAAGCUUCGGCCGAUUUCUAAGAUGGACAGCGGCGUAAGGGAGAGUAAUGAGUGGAUUACCUACCCCCAGGACCGGGAUAGCUGCGGGAAACUGCAGGUAAUACCGGAUAAUAUCUCCGGAUCAAAUGGUGAGAUUCCGCCAGGGGAUGGGUCCGCUUCCUAUUAGCUUGUUGGUGGGGUAACGGCCUACCAAGGCAACAAUGGGUACCGGGUGUGAGAGCAUGGCCCGGCUCACUGGGACUGAGACACUGCCCAGACACCUACGGGUGGCUGCAGUCGAGAAUCUUCCGCAAUGGGCGAAAGCCUGACGGAGCGACGCCGCGUGCGGGAUGAAGGCCUUCGGGUUGUAAACCGCUGUCAGUUGGGAGGAAAUCUAUGAGGGUUAUCCCUCGUAGUUGACCUAUCUUCAGAGGAAGGACGGGCUAAGUUCGUGCCAGCAGCCGCGGUAAGACGAACCGUCCAAACGUUAUUCGGAAUCACUGGGCUUAAAGGGUGCGUAGGCGGCUUGGCAAGUUGGGUGUGAAAUCCCUCGGCUCAACCGAGGAACUGCGCUCAAAACUGCCAAGCUAGAGGAAGAUAGAGGUGAGCGGAACUAAUGGUGGAGCGGUGAA
rnacentral:rRNA from 1 species